CCUACGGGAGGCAGCAGUGAGGAAUAUUGGACAAUGGGCGCAAGCCUGAUCCAGCCAUGCCGCGUGCAGGAAGAAGCAUCUAUGGUGUGUAAACUGCUUUUGUACAGGAAGAAACACUCCCUCGUGAGGGAGCUUGACGGUACUGUAAGAAUAAGGACCGGCUAACUCCGUGCCAGCAGCCGCGGUAAUACGGAGGGUCCGAGCGUUAUCCGGAAUCAUUGGGUUUAAAGGGUCCGUAGGCGGUUUAAUAAGUCAGUGGUGAAAUCUGGUCGCUCAACGAUCAAACGGCCAUUGAUACUGUUAGACUUGAAUUAUAAGGAAGUAACUAGAAUAUGUAGUGUAGCGGUGAAAUGCUUAGAUAUUACAUGGAAUACCAAUUGCGAAGGCAGGUUACUACUUAUGGAUUGACGCUGAUGGACGAAAGCGUGGGGAGCGAACAGGAUUAGAUACCCUGGUAGUCCACGCCGUAAACGAUGGAUACUAGCUGUUCGGAGCAAUCUGAGUGGCUAAGCGAAAGUGAUAAGUAUCCCACCUGGGGAGUACGUUCGCAAGAUGAAACUCAAAGGAAUUGACGG
rnacentral:rRNA from 1 species